GCCUCUGCGCUAUUCUACUUCUCACCAGCAGCCUAAUUUUGAAAGCUAAGAAGGGUCAGGCUUGAUUAGUCUUUAGACAGGAGACCACUCUGGAACACCAAGUGCUGUAGGCA
rnacentral:rRNA from 1 species